GGGGAGUACGGCCGCAAGGUUAAAACUGCAAAGGAAUGGAGGGGGCCUGCACAAGCGGUGGAGCAUGUGGUUUAAUUCGAAGCGACGCGCAGAACCUUACCAGCGUUUGACAUGUCCGGAGGACUGGCAGAGAUGCCUUUUUUCCCUUCGGGGACUGGAACACAGGUGCUGCAUGGCGGUCGUCAGCUCGUGUCGGGAGAUGUUGGGUUAAGUCCCGCAACGAGCGCAACCCUCGCCUUUAGUUACCAUCAUUUGGUUGGGUACUCUAAAGGAACCGCCGGUGAUAAGCCGGAGGAAGGUGGGGAUGACGUCAAGUCCUCAUGGCCCUUGCGCGCUGGGCUACACACGUGCUACAAUGGCGGUGACAGUGGGCAGCAAUCCCGCGAGGGUGAGCUAAUCUCCAAAAGCCGUCUACAGUUCGGAUCGUUCUCUGCAACUCGAGAGCGUGAAGGCGGAAUCGCUAGUACUCGCGGAUCAGCACUCCGCGGUGAAUACGUUCCCAGGCCUUGUACACACCGUUCCGUC
rnacentral:rRNA from 1 species